rnacentral:sRNA from 1 species
GCUGGGUAUGGUGGUGCAAGCCUGUAAUCCCAGCAUCUGGGGGGCUGAGGCAGGAUGAUCACGAGUUCAAAGCCAGCCUUGGCAACUCAGCAAGGCAUUAAGCAACUCAGUGAGACCCUGUCUCUA